UAUAUAUAUAUAUAUAUAUAUAUAUAUAUAUAUAUAUAUAUAUAGGUGUUACAUUCAUCAGGUGGCUGGAAGCAGGGCUUCAAAUCAAUGCGAAUGUCGAUCCAUGUCUACUGGAUUUGUACAAAAGGUGCAUUUCCCGGAAUAACUUAACUAGGACAUUUGUCCACCACCUCCUAGACGACGCGUCUCGAGCUGCUUACCUUCGAGGGAUUACGCGACGACAACAAUGCAACGGUAGCAGCAAUGGUAAUAAUGCUAUUAGCUCCUGGCAUCUAUACAGGGAAGAAAUGAACUGUUUACAAGUACUGGAGGUCACGACCUUUCUGUUAUAAGCAACUUAUUUAAGCGGAUGCAGCUCUCAUCCCCCACUGCAAACCCCCCCCCCCCUCCCCCCUUGCACACACACAGCCCUGUGAAAAGGGGCUGAAUCAUCUGUGCUAAUGAGGGCCUUCAAUUUCCAUGCUGCUCCAAUUCUGACUGUGUCUGCGUCUGCUUUGACCACUAAAGAGGCCCAGCUGCCCGCAGAAAUGCCUACAAGGGGAUGCCUGCCUCCCAACUCCAUGCUCUUUUGUGUGCGUGUGUUUUUUUACCAGCAUGAAAAAGUACAUUACACAACUUGUUUGCGUGAGUGUUUGUCCAAGCUAGCAGCAGCAGAUGCUGCGACCUCCUGGAUCGUGACCUCUAAAGUAAAUCUGGUUUUGAAGUAUUUGCUUGGAAAAUACGACCACCGCAGUUUGGUGAGCGAACCUUUGUGUGAUGUUGCCGCUCACCCGACGUGACCAAACCCUGUAGGUCUACUUUGGAUGAUUGAAACUGUAAUUGCAGCAUAGCCAGUCUAAUCACAGAGGCUUCUAUGGUUGUGUGUUUGUGACUGCACAAUGGCGGGGGUCCAGGCCUUAUCCGCGCGUGUCCGUCUAUCUUUGCAGGUGAUGAUCGGAUCUCAGGCGGCAGCUCGUGUGUGAUUGUGUUUGAGGAAUCCGGCCCCCCCCCGUCUUCCAAUCUGUCCAUCUCUCAGCGCUCUUGUAGCGGCGGAUGAGAGUCCCGCCUCUCUUCAGCAGGUGAUCACAGGACUUGUGUUUCUGUUUUCUUGAAAGAGGCCUGUCACACUGGUAUGUGGCCGCACUGUUAACACACACGAGCCUGUUUGUAGAGCUGGUUACUGGACCUUCUUUUGAUAUGUAGCAACGGAUCUUACUGUCUAACUUUAUUUAUGAAACUAUCCCAAUAUUGUUAAGAAAGUAUGAAGGAAUGCUAAGAAUGUACCAGGUGACUCUUCUGGUUGCAAAAACAAGACUGUUUGUGUGAGAAUAGGACUUUGUUUGAUUAAUUGCCUCAGUCAAGAUGGAAAACAUGAGUUUAUGGUUUCAAUUGGUAGUUUUCAGUCUUUUCUGUUCAUAAAAACGAGUUGUAUCCUUUUUUUGUCAUCUAGAACUGUCUUAUUCAGAUCAGUUGUACUUAUCUUAUCCCUGCUGUGUCCCUUCUGGUUGCAAAAAAUAAACUGGCAAUGGACAAAAACCAAGAUGUCUACAGACAAAAGCCGAACAUUCUACUGAAACUCCGCCCACCAUGUUCUGUGCAUAACGAAUUCCCCAAAAAGUUUAGAUUUUCAUUUGUCAUUUUCUAAUCAGACCUUUUAGUUGUCUGCCCAGUCUCCCAAAAACCCAUAUUUCUCAUUUUCAGAUAUAUGGCUGUAGAUGGAAGGUAUGGAGGGACAUUAGCAAUCAGUUCGUAGUGAAACCAGACUCUACUUGCCUUGUCUUACCAACCUCAAACCGUAUUGUUACUCACUUACUUACUUUUUAGAAGCAGCACCAUUGAUCGGCCAGAUGGACUGCCACAAAAUUCAUGUUUUCAACCAUCAUGUGCUCUAUGACACCUAAUGAUCCCAUUAGUUUUCCUCCACUGCCACCAAAAGACAUCCUCAACGGUGACGUUUGGCUCCUACGAGAAAAAGUCGAAACAGAAAAGGGUGGAGACUGGCCAUGUGACUCCGCCAAUGGCGACGCGAUCUGUCAGCAAUCAGCAAACCCAGAAGAAGAUAGAAUCAGUAAACGGCAGUCAAGUCAAGCAAGACCGACCCUAAAGUCUUCUUUUUGGAGGAAGGGGGAGGUUCCAGCUUCUACACAAACGGAGCCUCCUCUGUCAUCACCACCACCACCAUCUUUGUUGAUUCAAGUUACAAUAAUAUGUGGUCCAACUACGUGGAACUAUGUUCUUACGGUCUUAAUUGCUGUAUCAAUCCGCAUGUUAAAGUGUGUAUUUAUAUGUGCUUCGUAUUUGUAUUUUUA